GCUUGAAGAUGAUCUGAGCCUGAAGAGGGACAAAGGGCCUAGUGAUAGACUAUCUUUCUCUCUGCAAGUAUUGACAAUUCUGCUUUUGUAUGGUGAUAAUUUCAGGGAAUACAUGGUGAUGAGGCAUCAGUGUUGCAAUCAUCUGUUUGUGAGUGAUCAAAGAUGUUUCACAAGCCAUAGCAAGAAGAAAGAGGUUUUGUGAGAACUUCAACAACCAGAGAUGAGAUUGAGACUACCCAACAACAACUGUGUGAGUGAUCGAUGGGACCCAUGUCUAUACAAGAAUUCCUGGAGGGAAACAAGCCUUGUACUUUCCUGAAGGGCAAGUCCA